GCCAGGUGCAGUAACAUGUGCCUGUAGUCCCAGCUAUUUGGGAGGCUGAGGCAGGAGGAUCCCUUGAGCCCAGGAGUUCUGAGCUAUAGUAUGCUCAGUGAUUGAAUGUCUGAACUAAGUUUGCUAUCAAUAUGGUGACCUCCCAGGAGUAGGGGGCCACCAGAUUGCCUAAGGAGGGAUGAAACGACCCAGGCUGGAAAUGGAGGAGGUCAAAACUACUGUACUGAUCAGUACUGGGAUUGCACCUGUGAACAGCAAAUGCAUUCCAGCCUGGGCAACAUAACAAGACCCCAGCUCUU
ensembl:misc_RNA Metazoa_SRP Metazoan signal recognition particle RNA